rnacentral:misc_RNA from 1 species
GUGGUGGAAGAUAAACUGAAUGAACAUCAAUUGAAGCAUAGCGGAAGCAAGCAACCAUUCUCCCAAAUCCGUAAAACCUAAGACAAUCUCUGUGAAGGGAAUGACCACAGCUUGCAACCCUGCUUGCGGCUGCAUGAUUUGAAAAGCUAAGCUCCAAAAAUUUCCCAAAAGACAAACCCCAGGCAGCAUCAGACAUCACUACUCUUCGAGUGGC